rnacentral:rRNA from 1 species
AGCGAACGCUGGCGGCAGGCCUAACACAUGCAAGUCGAGCGCCCCGCAAGGGGAGCGGCAGACGGGAGAGUAACACGUGGGAACGUGCCCUUUGGUUCGGAACAACCCAGGGAAACUUGGGCUAAUACCGGAUAAGUCCGUAAGGAGAAAGAUUUAUCGCCAAAGGAGCGGCCCGCGUCUGAUUAGCUAGUUGGUGAGGUAACGGCUCACCAAGGCGACGAUCAGUAGCUGGUCUGAGAGGAUGAUCAGCCUCACUGGGACUGAGACACGGCCCAGACUCCUACGGGAGGCAGCAGUGGGGAAUAUUGGACAAUGGGCGCAAGCCUGAUCCAGCCAUGCCGCGUGGGUGAUGAAGGCCCUAGGGUUGUAAAGCCCUUUCAGCGGGGAAGAUAAUGACGGUACCAGCAGAAGAAGCCCCGGCUAACUCCGUGCCAGCAGCCGCGUAAAC